rnacentral:rRNA from 1 species
GUUUCGGUGCGGGCUGCGAGAGCGGYACYAAAUCGAGACAAACUCAGAAUACCUAGAGAACACGUUGCCAGUAAGACGGUGAGGGAUAAGCUCCAUCGUCGAGAGGGAAACAGCCCAGACCACCAGCUAAGGUCCCAAAAUGGAUGCUAAGUGAUAAAGGAGGUGGGAUUGCAGAGACAACCAGGAGGUUUGCCUAGAAGCAGCCAUCCUUAAAAGAGUGCGUAAUAGCUCACUGGUCAAGCGAUCCUGCGCCGAAAAUGAACGGGGCUAAGCAUUCUACCGAAGCUGUGGACUUGUAAUACAAGUGGUAGGGGAGCGUUCUGCAGUAGUGAGAAGCAUUAGCGUAAGCAGAUGUGGACGAGGCAGAAGUGAGAAUGUCGGCUUGAGUAGCGAAAACAUGUGUGAGAAUCACAUGCCCCAAAAACCUAAGGAUUCCUCCGGAAGGCUCGUCCGCGGAGGGUUAGUCGGGACCUAAGGCGAAGCCGAAGGGCGUAGUCGAUGGACAUAGGGUUAAUAUUCCCUGACUAUAUAUCGGGAGCAUAUAGAGUGACGCAUGAUGGAUAGCCAUACCCUUAAUGGAUUGGGAGGGGGUUACGACCCCUGCAUGGUGAAGAGUAGUGCCAAGAAAAGCUUUAUAUGUGAUGAACGAUGUGUACCCGUACCCUAAACCGACACAGGUAGGUGAGUUGAGGAUACUAAGGGGCGCGAGAUAACUCUCUCUAAGGAACUCGGCAAAAUGGCCCCGUAACUC